GGCCAAUCAAUCUUUAGAAUCUUAUUUACGUUGUUUUAUUGAUGCCCAUCUGUCUAACUGGUAUGAACUCUUACCCAUGGCUGAGUUUGCCAGAAAUAAUGCGACUCAUGAAUCCUCUAAUCAUAGUCCAUUUUUUGUAAAUCAGGGUUAUCACCCCACUGUUUUACCUUCUGAAUUUUCAGACACUGAUAUUCCUGCCUUGGAUUCUAUUCAUGACAUUUGGGAUUCCGUUCAUACAGCAUUACAGAAGGCAUCAAAACGUGCUAAAAUCCAAGCCGACAAGAGACGGGGUGCCAAUCCUGUCUAUCAACCAGGAGACAAGGUGUGGUUAUCCACACGUCAUGUCAAACUCAAGGUUCCUUCCAUGAAAUUUGCCCCUCGGUACAUAGGUCCUUUUCGGGUCCUGAUCAGCCACUUUAGUGUAUCGAGAGG